AGAGAAUUUGAUUAAUGUGCUUCUAAAGGAUUGUGGACUAUGUUGCAUGGGUUGGGGUAUGAGUGUCAAGUGCAGGUGUUUGUCUAAUUGUUCAAUCCUUCAUAACUCAAAUUUUAGGUUGUGAAGACUUGGCUAAAAAUGAUCCUAAAAAGGGGCAUGGACACCUUUUCCCUCUAAAAAAAAAUCAAUUAAAAUAAAUUGACAUGAAAAUAAAUUGACAAUGAAAAUAAAUUGACAAUGAAAAUAUCCUAUUUAAAAGCUCCCACCUUAAGGUACCCUAGGUACUACCUUAGCUAAACAUGAACUCAACCUCUCCCAAGCCUUGGGUCUUCCUUUGUGACCCUUAGAGCAUCCCAUUAUGUGGUUCUCUUGAGUGCUCAGGUGGUCCACCAAUGGUUUUUUGGGACUGUACCUUAGGUACACCUUAAUGACCUUUAAGUAUUACCUUAAGAGACCCUAGGUACUACCUUAACUAAACUUGAACUCAACCUCUCCCAAGCCUCGGGCUUUCCUUUGUGAGCCUUAGAGCAUCUCAUUAUGUGGUUCUCUUGAGUGCUCAAGUGGUCCACCAAAGGUUUUUUGCAAUUGUACCUUAGGUACUACCUUAAGAGCCCUUAGGUACUACCUUAAUGGCCUUUAGGUACUACCUUAAGGGACCCUAGGUACUACCUUAGCUAAACAUGAACUCAACCUCUCCCAAGCCUCGGGUCUUCCUUUGUGACCCUUAGAGCAUCCCAUUAUGCGGUUCUCUUGAGUGCUCAAGAGGUUCAUCAAAGGUUUUUUGGGACUGUACCUUAAGUACUACCUUAAGGGCCCUUAGGUACUACCUUAAUGACCUUUAGGUACUAGCUUAAGGGACCCUAGGUACUACCUUAAGGUAAACAUGAACUCAACCUCUCCCAAGCCUCGGGCCUUCUUUUGUGACCCUUAAAGCAUCCCAUUAUGUGGUUCUCUUGAGUGCUCAAGUGGUCUACCAAUGGUUUUUUGGGACUGUACCUUAGGUACUACCUUAAGGGCCCUUAGGUACUACCUUAAUGGCCCUUAGGUACUACCUUAAGGGACCCUAGUUAUUACCUUAGCUAAACAUGAACUCAACCUCUCCCA
rnacentral:lncRNA from 1 species